rnacentral:lncRNA from 1 species
UCCACUGCGCCUGCGCGGAAGCCGGCUCAGAAGCUCACGUGGCUGGUGUAGUAGGCGUGGUCACGUGACAGGACCGAGCGAUGGGAGGAUUCUGGUGCACCCCGGAAGGAGGAUUUUUAAUUCUUCUGUUUUCUUGUCUAUCGCAAAACAGAGUUUACAUGUAUUUUCCUUUUUUCUUAGCUUAAGAAUUGAAGACUUUGGCCGGAUUAGACCUGGUUGUGUGGAGAGGAGAAUUAAUAACUACAGUGGAGCGAGCCCUCCUGCGAGAGUCAGGAUACUACUAUGCUAGUCCCGACUCUGCCCCAAAUGCCUGGAGAGACUUUGGCUAAGUCACUUUUUCUUUCCGCGGGCUGUUUACCGUUGGUAAAAGGAGAGGGUCACCCACUCACUCCACAAACAUUUGUUGAGUCAUUGGUUAUAGCGGGAACAAGACAGGCAAAGUUCUUCCUGAAUUCUGGUCGGAGAUGGAUAACGGAAACAACUUUGUUGAGGGUCUCGUUCUGUCGCCCUGGCCGGAGUGCAGUGUCAUGAUCAGGGCUCGACCUCCCGGGCUCAAACAAUCCCCCUACUUCAGCCACCCAAGUAGCUAGGACCACAGUUAUUACCCAGCACACUUACUGAGCGCUCCACUUCCCAGGCACUAUUUAAUGAUCUGGAGGUUAUAGCAAUCAUCCCAAAUCUCUGGAAGGAGACAGACAAGCACAUAAAUACAUAGCAAUAUUGUGCAGAGAGAAGAGCUGGGAAGGAAAAUGAAACCCAGUAAGGGGAUGGCUAGUGAGAGGGGUGUUCUUUGAGAUAGGUGAUUGGAGGAGGCCUCUCCAAGGAGAUCUGGACUGUAGUGACUGGCAUGAAAAUUUAACUAGGAGUGCUUUCUACACCGAAGGAUCCCUGAAGAAGCAGCCUGCCUGGGAUGUUUAAGGAACCACAGGAAGCUCAUUGCCAGAGGAGUGAGCCAGGGCAGAAAUGUUCAGAGAAAAAGCAGGAGCUUCCCUUUGCCAACCAGGCUCGGAUCAAGUCAUCUUCCCAGCCUCAGUUUCACUUAGAUCCCCACUCCUAAGUACUUUCCCCUGUUUAAUUUUCUUCACAACAUUUAUGUAAUCUGAAAUUAUCUUGUUCAUUUUUUCAUAACUGAAUCACCUGCCCUCCUCCUCCUUCUCUCUCUGUCAUACACAUGCCAACUAGAAAAUAAGUUCCGUGCAUCAGAGCCUGCCCAUCUUAUUCACCUGUAUCCCCAGAAUCUAGAAUGGUGCCUGGCAUAAUAGAUAUAAUAAAUAUGUGAUGACUGAAAGAACCAGAAGAGACCGCCAGGAGGAAACAAGCCUACUCCAGCAGUUUUCAGACAGUUUUGGUCUCAAGACCCCUUUACACUCCUAAAAAUUAUUGAGGAUCCCAAAGUUUUUGUUUAUGUGGGUUAAGUCUGCUAAUAUUUAUCUGAUAAGUUAAAACUGAGAAUUUUAGGCUGGAGGCAGUGGCUCAUGCCUGUAAUCCCAGCACUUUGGGAGGCCGAGGCAG